GGGUUAAGUCCCGCAACGAGCGCAACCCUUAUCCUUUGUUGCCAGCGGUUCGGCCGGGAACUCAAAGGAGACUGCCAGUGAUAAACUGGAGGAAGGUGGGGAUGACGUCAAGUCAUCAUGGCCCUUACGACCAGGGCUACACACGUGCUACAAUGGCAUAUACAAAGAGAAGCGACCUCGCGAGAGCAAGCGGACCUCAUAAAGUAUGUCGUAGUCCGGAUUGGAGUCUGCAACUCGACUCCAUGAAGUCGGAAUCGCUAGUAAUCGUAGAUCAGAAUGCUACGGUGAAUACGUUCCCGGGCCUUGUACACACCGCCCGUCACACCAUGGGAGUGGGUUGCAAAAGAAGUAGGUAGCUUAACCUUCGGGAGGGCGCUUACCACUUUGUGAUUCAUGACUGGGGUGAAGUCGUAACAAGGUAACCGUAGGGGAACCUGCGGUUGGAUCACCUCCUUACCUUAAAG
rnacentral:rRNA from 1 species